ensembl:processed_transcript Gm14204 predicted gene 14204
GUGCUGCAUUUCUGGAGGAGGUGCUAAACAGACGUCCUGGCCCGUCCCACCUUGCUGCCACCACGAGGAGGGAGGAGUUCGGUGUGGGCUGGUUCUCGAAGGUCCCCACCCUCGGAACUAUCUUCCAGAGUCCCGGAGCUGUGCGGGCCCCGGAUCCUCUGGCUAACCUUCCGGAUGACCAACAGGACAGGCUGAUGGUGUUUUGCCUGGAUGUGUCUGUGCACCACAUACAUACCUAGUGCCCACAGAGGUUAGAAGAGGCAUCCUAUAGACUGGAACUGGAGUUACAGAUGGUUGUGAACCACUGUGUAGGUGCUGGGAACUGAACCCACAUCCUCUGAAAGGACAUCAACUGCUCUCGUACGUUGCUAGAAGGAUAAGAUGUCUGUCUGUGCCCAGUUGUGCCUAUUCCAGUAACAUUAUAACAAAGAUAAUGUGUCAACUGUUGGGAAGAGAAUGUGGAUCCCGCCCCCCUUAAGACUGGCUUGUGUGUUACUCCAGUGUGAGGAGCAUGCAUUUAAUUCAGUCUGACCAAGUAGAAAAUAAGCUCCGCACACUGGUGCUCCCCACUGCCUGUGCCACCUGGACCGGCCUCCAUCCAUUCGUCUCCCCCACCACUGCCUUCGAGGGGAAAUAUGACAGCGUAAUGAACAGUUGUACGACGUGCUAUAAAAAGGCAAUUAAGGGAACUAUCAGACUGGGACAAGCCAGCAUGACCCGGUUAAUAGCUCUGAGCCCUGAGUGGGGCCGUGGGGAGGACGGGCUGAAGGAGGGGGAGGGGGGUUGCUGUUUACAGUGAGGGGCUGAAGUUAGCCUAGCAACUAUCAGCUAACAAAGGGCCCCUGGCUGCCCUCAUGGCUGCUGGGUCCAGGGACAACCCUAGGGUCAUGUUAGUUGAGAGUAAAGCUCUGCUCCCAACCCUGCUGCUGGUGGCCUUGACCUGGGCAAAUGACCCCUAGUCUCUUGGCUACAGUUUCCUGUUUUCUUAAAAGGGAAGCUCAGGCUGGAACUGUGUUCCAGAAGUGGGGGAAAGGAUACAUUUUUAUUGGGCGUUCGUGUGUGUGUGUGUGUGUGUGUGUAUGUGUGUGUGUGUAUACACAUACAUCAUAUAUAGCAUAAACAGCAUACAUCAUAUAUGCAUAUAUAUCAUAUAUACCAUGUACACAUACAAUACACAUACACACAUAUAUAUGUAUACAUAUGGGGAUUUGUUAGAAUCACUUGCAGGCUAUGGUCCAAUUAAUCCAACAAUGGCAAGUUACAAACAGGAGGUUCAAGAAUCCAGAAGUUUCUCAGUAUGUGAGGCUGAUGUCUCAGCUGGUCUUCAGCAGAUACUGGAAUUCUGAAGAAGUAGGCUCUAAUGCAGUGGUUUUCAACCUUCUUGAUGCUGCAACCUUUAAUAUAUUCCUCAUGUUAUGGUGACCCUCCACCAUAAAUUAUUUUACUGCUACUUCAUAACUUACUUUGCUACUUCUAUAAAUUGUGAUGUAAAUAUCUGAUAUGUAGGAUAUCUAAUAUGCAACUCCCAGAAAGGUCAUGACCCACAGAUGAGAAUGGCUCUAAUGUCAGUGAGGGAAUGAGUGGACUUGCUAGCAAGGCAGAGCAAACAGACAAAGAACAAAAGCUUCCUUCUUCCAUGUCCUUAUACAGGUUUCCAGCAGAAGGUGUGGCCCAGGAUAAAGGUGUGUCUUCCUGCCUCAAGGUCAAAGGCGUGUACCUUCUUCCCUCAAAGGUCUGAACUAGAAGUAUUUACUUACUUCACAGUAAGCAAAAGUAAUUUCUCAUGGUGUGCCCUCCAUUUCUGGAUUAUAGUUUAUUUCAGAUGUAGUCAAGUUGACCACCAAGAAUAGCCAUCACAAGGUCUGUCCAGGAAGCCGUCUCCCAGCCUGGAUGGGAAGGUUUUCAUUGUGGAAUGUCAGUGCGGGAAUCUGCCCUUAGCAUCCAAAGGAACUUAGGUGGAUCUCCAGUUGAAUACAAUCUUGGGUUGUGGUGAGUGCUAGAGGCUAGUCUGGCCCUUCACUCUUCAUGAGAUGCGAACUCUCUGGUCAGAUCUAUAGUCAGCCUUGGGUCAUGUUUCCCUUUUAGCAUCCCCUGCUUCACCUCCUCCACUCCCCAGGCCCUGCUGCCUUCCUAUUUUUGGUUUGUCAUCCACAUGACCGGCAGGAUAGGAUCAGAGUCACUCAUGCUCGCCCUAGUGCUUGCUUCCCUUGGAUUCACAGUGCGGGUGGGAGGAGUGAUGGGUUUUCAUCCUACACAGGGUAGGAAGUCACCACCUGGCACAUGGUAAAGGCCCAGUGGGUACCAGUUAUUGUUUAGAUCACAACAUGGCUCUGGGUUUGUAUUUAGUAUGAAGCUCAUGCUGACCAUAGUGUGAGUGAGUGAUUGAGUGUUUGGUAACUGUUGUCUAAACUGUUGGAGGAAAUUUCACCUGGGUCCUGUUGUCUAUCAAACCUCUGAACCCAGUAUCCAUCAGUCCCAUAGGGAGAUGAUCCUGCCUAGCAGUUAGAGAAGUGUGCCAUUCGUGGAGUGGUCCCUAUACAUCCCCACCCGCAUCCGCAUCCUAGGCCUGAAUUUCUCAGAGCUCAGGGAGCAUUCAGCUCUCCCACCACGGGUGUUUAUCUUAAAAUAGGAAACCAGUAUGCUCAGGGUCUGCAAAGACCCCAUUGCCCCGCCCCCACCCAUGCUGCUGCAGACGGAAGCUGACAACCAGCCCAGUGACAAAGGAGCAAUCAACAGUCAUUAGGGCUCAUUUAAGGACAGCUCAAGGAUGGCUUGAAAAUCCCAGCAUGCUCCUCACUCCAGAUGAAGAGGGUCUGAGUUCCUGGGCUCUUUCUCUUCAGCACCUACCACAGAGGAGGGCUAUGCCAGACAAGUGGCCCAGGACUUUAUCCCUCAGUCCUGUGUGCUGGCAUCCCUUUACUACUGUAGGCUGGCAUCCCUUACCUCUGAAGGUACAAUGGCACUGAAAGCCAAGUGUGGUCCUCACCAUUGAGCCACCCUCAUGUCAGGAGCAAAAUUGAUUCCCAUCACCAGAGCAGAGCAGGGGCCAAAUGUAAUCGCCUAUGUGGUCAGGAGAUUCAUUUGACGCACACAGAACCUCGGUUUCCGCUCCUGUUCACUGGGCAUCAUUAGACCUUUCCCUCAUAGUGGCCAAGAGGAUUGAAGGAAGCACAUAUCUACAGUGCUUACAUGUAAUAUGAACAUACAUACCUAUUCGACGGGAUCACUGCUCAUCCCCAGGUCUCAACUUAAGAGGCCACCUCCAGUGUGCAUGUAAGGUCUUUUCAAGUCUCAAGUUUCAAGCAUGUAUUCUACUCCUAAGUACUUUGACACCCUCUGUGUUUCCCUGGCAUGUUGCACAUAUACGUGUGGCUGUGGGCCUGAAUCCAGAUUCUCAGUAUGAAUUGUAUCAAAGAGGAGGCUCUCCACAGACCUGUGGAGAAGCCACUGUGCUGACAGCCCUGUGAGGGCUAAAUGGGAUGAUGAGGUCACUGGAAGCAGAGUUCCCGUUACCUUGGACUUGGGGAGCUGGGAGUGAGUCCCUAAGUCACCCAGCUUUGUAUAUCAGCAAGACUGGCCUUCUUCUUCCCACCCUUGCUGGGAUGUUUUCUUCUCUUUGGACCUUCUAUGCAUGUCCAGGGAAUUCUGUUGGACCAUCCAGCUCACAGCGAUUUGUAGAAAUGGAACCUGCCUUUCUCCAGCCAUCUACUGGCUCUCAGGGCAUACAUACGGGCAUAGUCUGUGUUCUUGUCCCAGCACUUAUCAUAGAUAGUUCUCAUUUUUUUUUUCCAUCUGGUGUGCUGAGUGCCCCUUGUGUAUCACCUCAUUAUAACCUCAGCUCCAGCCACUAACUCCAGUCCAAAGGACCAUUCUUGGGAGUAUGGCAAGGUUCCAGGGCACUGCAGGAAAGGCAGAGGCUUCAGGAGAGCUGGGACCAGAGCCCUUCUCUGCUUUUUCUCAGACUUCGAGGCUCUCAGACCAGAGUUAGAUGCUUGUCUCCAACUGGCCAAACUCCUUAAGACAAAGUGACAGUCCUACCCCAGGGGAGUCACCUUUGAGAGGAGAGGUCCAGGAGCAGUUAGCAUUGAGUUUAAAGAUGCCUCCCAAAGACAACCAGUAAGAACUCACCCCGGCACGGUACAUCAGUGUUCACAGUGUCGGGGCAUGACCCUGGCAGGACUUCUGGGAGUCUCUUGACAAGAUAUCGAGGUCUGCCAUUGCUUCCCCAGGUGGGUACGGGUAGGGCACAGCAAAGCAGGAGCAGGAAUUUUGCUUUUGCCACCCAGCCUCCAGCGUGUUCACCUCUUUCCUCUUCUCCUUUUCAUUCCCCUUCCCAGGAUGGCCCCUGACCUCCCCAUGGAAGGUUUUCUUGAGGUCUUUAUCUCUAUCAGCCACCACCAGCUCUGCCCCUCAGCCACCAUGGGAGCACAUGCAGGGACCACAGGCCGCACACAACAGAGAUGUGUAGUAUAAGGAAAUGACUUUGAAAAUCCCUGAGGCUCCUUGGGAUCCAUCUUAAUGUUUCUGGUCUAAGAUCAAUAGGCAAGGAGACCCCCAAGCCUAUAAUUAGCUUGAAUCCUCCAGGAGAAGGACCAGAAGGAGAUAUUCACUCAGCAUCCCCAGUCAGCAGGCAAGAGACACAAGCUCUUAUUAUGGCUUUUCUCAGAACAGCAAGUUCCUAUGUUUCCUCCUUUCCCAAAUUCCCUUUUAUUUCAUAUGACUCAGAAAUGCAUGUGUCUACAUGUUCACGGUAUGAAAUGCAUGUGAUGAACUCUAACUCCUGUUUCCUCCACGGCGGACUUGAACCGCUUGUGGCUAUGCUUGGGGAGGUGACCUUUGCCUGUGAACACAGUGUGAGCCACACAGGCAGAUGAGCCACUGACCCCGCUGUCUGCUUAUUUAUUUGCUUGUUUGUUUAUAUUUGUUUUGCUUUUUUCUAGAUUAAAAAAUUUUUCUAAUAUUUUUGUUUUAUGUGCAUACAUGCGUGUGCAUGGGUGCACACGUGCCAUGGCACAGGUGCGGAGGUCAGAGGACAAACUUGUGGGGAUCACUUCCGUCUCUUUGACAAAGAUCAAACUCAAGUGGUGUCAGGGUUGGUAGCAAAUGCCUUUAUCUGUUGAUCUACCUUUGCAGGCUCUUAAUGACUUUAUUGGCAUAUAUUAAUUAUACAUAAUGAUGCGAUUCAUAUAACAUACUUGAUCUGCUUGCUCCCCACUAUUACCCUCUCUUGUCCUCUUCCCAAUGAUAUUGCUCCCCCCCCCCCGCUUUGACACUGACACAUUUUUAAAUUUUGGUUUUGUAACCUGAA